AGCGAACGCUGGCGGCAGGCUUAACACAUGCAAGUCGAGCGGGCGUAGCAAUACGUCAGCGGCAGACGGGUGAGUAACGCGUGGGAACGUACCUUUUGGUUCGGAACAACACAGGGAAACUUGUGCUAAUACCGGAUAAGCCCUUACGGGGAAAGAUUUAUCGCCGAAAGAUCGGCCCGCGUCUGAUUAGCUAGUUGGCAGGGUAAUGGCCUACCAAGGCGACGAUCAGUAGCUGGUCUGAGAGGAUGAUCAGCCACAUUGGGACUGAGACACGGCCCAAACUCCUACGGGAGGCAGCAGUGGCGAAUAUUGGACAAUGGGGGCAACCCUGAUCCAGCCAUGCCGCGUGAGUGAUGAAGGCCCUAGGGUUGUAAAGCUCUUUUGUGCGGGAAGAUAAUGACGGUACCGCAAGAAUAAGCCCCGGCUAACUUCGUGCCAGCCGCCGCCGUAAGAC
rnacentral:rRNA from 1 species